GAUCAUUACUGUGAUUUACUACUACACUGCGUGAGCGGAACGAAAACAACAACACCUAAAAUGUGGAAUAUAGCAUAUAGUCGACAAGAGAAAUCUACGAAAAACAAACAAAACUUUCAACAACGGAUCUCUUGGUUCUCGCAUCGAUGAAGAGCGCAGCGAAAUGCGAUACCUAGUGUGAAUUGCAGCCAUCGUGAAUCAUCGAGUUCUUGAACGCACAUUGCGCCCCUCGGCAUUCCGGGGGGCAUGCCUGUUUGAGCGUCGUUUCCAUCUUGCGCGUGCGCAGAGUUGGGGGAGCGGAGCGGACGACGUGUAAAGAGCGUCGGAGCUGCGACUCGCCUGAAAGGGAGCGAAGCUGGCCGAGCGAACUAGACUUUUUUUCAGGGACGCUUGGCGGCCGAGAGCGAGUGUUGCGAGACAACAAAAAGCUCGACCUCAAAUCAGG
rnacentral:misc_RNA from 1 species